GCCUGCAAAAGGAAUCGCAGUGUUAGGACUGCAGGCGUCGGAGAAGCCACCCUAGCCAAAGAUCUAGGUUCUGGGGACCAGGAACCUCCUGUUCCAGCUUCACCUCUAACUCUGUCACACUUGCAAGUCCCACCGUGUCCAGAUUUGGGAUCCCCCCCCCCAACUUUCCAGAGGACCCUGUAAAGCAGAUAUCCUAUCUUCCUUUCUUCAUUUUCUAGACGGCAGGAAAAUAUUGAACAUCCUCAGACAAGGAAGGGUCGUGGGCAAAAACGGAUUAAGUAACCCUAGACUCAAAUAGGAUUUGUACCACGUAUCUGUCGGGAUGCGGCUUUUUGCAAAUUCAUGUCUGGUCUGCCCUGGGUGGGUCAGUAUUUAAAAAGAGUGCAGUUCCCCACCCUCCAACGACGUCAAGGAGGAAAAUGAAGGUGAGGUGGGGCUUGCCGUAAAUUAGAAACAGACUUAUGAAAUUCCGUAUUGGCACGGCUCUAGACCGGAUUAAAAGGGACCAAUUAAAAAGAGACAUUUAAAGCCAAGUGAGAAACACUGAGCACAACGUAGGAAGUAAAAAAAAAAAAAAAGUAAAGAAAGAUAUGAUAAUUGUAUAUGAGAAACCAGGGCAGUUUUUCUUAGAGGUCCCGCCUGUAUCUUCACAGAGGAGGGGUCUGGGACUCAGGUGGUCCCGGAGGAAACUGUCUGCCUGUCACAGAUAUUAGCAUCGCACCAAGCCUUUCUGUGCUUCAUGCAUCUCCAUGACGGCAGAUGAUGGCUGAGGUCCGCUCUGCUCAGAACAGAGCUUCCAGGACCCUGCCUGGAGCCAAUGCAGCCAGCUUAAGACUGGCAAAGCACUCACAGGAGGAUGUAGCUGCUGUUGCCUGAGGCAAUGGAUGACAAUUGGAUGGAGAAGCACUUUGGAUGGAGCACAGGAGGUGCUUGGGGAAUGAGGAAUUGGAAGAUGCUUUGGGAUUGAGGAUACCGCACAUGUGCCCGGGCUGCGUGUUAAUUCGGUAAAUAUCAACGAGGCUUCCGAGGCUGAACCCAGCUGACCUGUAGGUACGGAGGCUGACCUGUAGGCAGGUGAGCAGAGGGGUUACACAGGCUUCUGGCUGAGUGCUGGAGAGGCCUCAGCUCACACAGCCCAUCUGCAAAGACUGGGUUUGCUUUUCUUUCAGCGAAUCUAAAGGAGCAGAGGCAUCAUGGCCAUGUAAGGAAAGGCGUACAGGUUUUACAAAAUGGAUCCUUUAAACCAUGAGCUGUGCAAGCGAACGUCAGUAAGUAUGACCGAUCCCUGGUUGGGGAUCUGAUUUCUACAACCGUUGCUUCCGUGGUUUAAAAUGUCCAGUUUUCAAUAACAAAAAUUACGAAGAAUAUGGAAAAUGAAAAGAAGAGACUCCGUGCAGGAAGAGGACAACUAAAGUGAACGGACCACAGGGAAGCCCGCCCCUCGGCUUCACCAGAAAAGACAAAUAAACUAAAUUAAAUAUGUCCAAAAAAUGUAUGCCUGUAAUCCCAGCACUUGGGAAACAGGCAAAGAGGAUAGUUACAAGUUUGAGACCAGCCUGGGCUACAGAGUAAGUUCCAGGUUCAUUUGGGUUACAAUGUGAGACCCAGUCUCAAACACAAAAACCCAACAAACAAAAAAGUUAAAGGAAGACUGACCUAAAGGAAUUAGGACAACGUCUCAGUAAGGAGUAUCGAUAAGCAGACAGAAAUUACAAAAA